AACGAACGCUGGCGGCAUGCCUAACACAUGCAAGUCGAACGAGACCUUCGGGUCUAGUGGCGCACGGGUGCGUAACGCGUGGGAACCUGCCCUUAGGUUCGGAAUAACUCCCCGAAAGGGGUGCUAAUACCGGAUAAUGUCUUCGGACCAAAGAUUUAUCGCCUUUGGAUGGGCCCGCGUUGGAUUAGCUAGUUGGUAGGGUAAAAGCCUACCAAGGCGACGAUCCAUAGCUGGUCUGAGAGGAUGAUCAGCCACACUGGGACUGAGACACGGCCCAGACUCCUACGGGAGGCAGCAGUGGGGAAUAUUGGACAAUGGGCGAAAGCCUGAUCCAGCAAUGCCGCGUGAGUGAUGAAGGCCUUAGGGUUGUAAAGCUCUUUUACCCGGGAUGAUAAUGACAGUGCCGAGAGAAUAAGCUCCGGCUAACUCCGUG
rnacentral:rRNA from 1 species